rnacentral:rRNA from 1 species
CCUGGUUGAUUCUGCCAGUAGUCAUAUGCUUGUCUCAAAGAUUAAGCCAUGCAUGUCUAAGUAUAAGCAAUUAUACGGCGAAACUGCGAAUGGCUCAUUAUAUAAGUUAUCGUUUAUUUGAUAGUACCUUACUACUUGGAUAACCGUGGUAAUUCUAGAGCUAAUACAUGCUAAAAAUCCCGACUUCGGAAGGGAUGUAUUUAUUAGAUUAAAAACCAAUGCCCUUCGGGGCUCCUUGGUGAUUCAUGAUAACUGCUCGAAUCGCAUGGCCUUGUGCCGGCGAUGGCUCAUUCAAAUUUCUUCCCUAUCAACUUUCGAUGUUUGGGUAUUGGCCAAACAUGGUUGCAACGGGUAACGGAGGGUUAGGGCUCGACCCCGGAGAAGGAGCCUGAGAAACGGCUACUACAUCCAAGGAAGGCAGCAGGCGCGCAAAUUACCCAAUCCCGACACGGGGAGGUAGUGACAAUAAAUACUGAUACAGGGCUCUUUUGGGUCUUGUAAUUGGAAUGAGUACAAUUUAAAUCCCUUAACGAGGAACAAUUGGAGGGCAAGUCUGGUGCCAGCAGCCGCGGUAAUUCCAGCUCCAAUAGCGUAUAUUAAAGUUGUUGUGGUUAAAAAGCUCGUAGUUGAACCUUGGGCCUGGCUGGCCGGUCCGCCUCACCGCGUGUACUGGUCCGGCCGGGCCUUUCCCUCUGUGGAACCCCAUGCCCUUCACUGGGUGUGGCGGGGAAACAGGACUUUUACUUUGAAAAAAUUAGAGUGCUCCAGGCAGGCCUAUGCUCGAAUACAUUAGCAUGGAAUAAUAGAAUAGGACGUGUGGUUCUAUUUUGUUGGUUUCUAGGACCGCCGUAAUGAUUAAUAGGGACAGUCGGGGGCAUCAGUAUUCAAUUGUCAGAGGUGAAAUUCUUGGAUUUAUUGAAGACUAACUACUGCGAAAGCAUUUGCCAAGGAUGUUUUCAUUAAUCAGGAACGAAAGUUAGGGGAUCGAAGACGAUCAGAUACCGUCGUAGUCUUAACCAUAAACUAUGCCGACUAGGGAUCGGACGAUGUUAUUUUUUGACUCGUUCGGCACCUUACGAGAAAUCAAAGUGCUUGGGCUCCAGGGGGAGUAUGGUCGCAAGGCUGAAACUUAAAGAAAUUGACGGAAGGGCACCACCAGGGGUAAACGUAACUCGUUUUUUCGAAGCCACAGUUAACUCUGCUCCUAAAAGCCGCCCGAAAGGGUCAAUGGUGUACCUAGGCCUCGCGCCGAAAUUAAUGGCUAGUCUCUCCGGAGGCAACACCCUCAACUUGCGGGGAACCCCUAAAGCUUCUGCUCCAAAGCCGACGUUCGAAAGCCGUCGGUGGCCAGGUUAAUAGCCUCGGGUACUGGAAAAACGCAGAAGAUGUCACAAUGGGCAAUCCGCAGCCAAGCCCCUAAGUGCGCCGCGAGGCGCAUACGGGGAAGGUUCAGAGACUUGACGGGGGUGGGUGGGGGUUCUGCAUCGCCCGCGGGCGGUCCCUGCUUAAGAUAAAGUCCGUCCUUUCGCGAAAGCGUCAGCGGUCUCUUUGCAGCAAUGCAAUGGGGCUUCCAACCGGGAGCCUGCGGCUUAAUUUGACUCAACACGGGGAAACUCACCAGGUCCAGACACAAUGAGGAUUGACAGAUUGAGAGCUCUUUCUUGAUUUUGUGGGUGGUGGUGCAUGGCCGUUCUUAGUUGGUGGAGUGAUUUGU